CAACCGAUGGCAAGCAGCACGCCUGCAUCACCAGCGCCGCUGCCCACCCCGCCUAAGCUGCCGCGGUAAAAUUCGUGCUGCCACGCGCCGCCGUGCUCUGCAGCCACGAGCAAGCAAGCAAGCAGGAGCUGGCCGAGCGAAUCGCGGUGAUAAUUUGAAGUUUGACUGCGCCGCCGUCGUCAUCCUCUUCCUCCCUCUGUUCCCACCCAAGUUCCAGCCGCCAGGGCUCGCCGCCGAUUUCGUCGCCAGUCGCUUCCUUCUGCACACCGCACUGCAACAACCUCCCAAGCAACCCCCGCCACUUCUCGUCCAAGGAGGACAGCCACAGCGCCAUCGCUGCCGCUCCCCUGUUCCGCCGGCCGCCGUUGACACCCCCACGACUCGAAGGCGCUGGAGGUGGAGUACGUGGAGAUCCUGUCUGAGACAGCUCAGAAAGGCAAGGACGUGAUCGUGGUGGAGCAAGGUCUCGAAGCUGCCCCAGAGCCGUUGUCGAGACCGCCGACCCCGAGGAGCAACAAGGCAAGCCCCGGUGCAUUAAUCCUAUUUAACCCUGCUAAUUUGAGUCCAAAUUCCUUUAUUUCAUGAUUGUGCAUUAAGUCUAGGAGUGGAGUCCUUUUAUACAUUCCUACCUUCCUUGUUUAAGGACAUCUUUGCCACCUGUUUAAAAGUAGAAGGUUAAGUCUAAUCUGCUAGUGCCGUAAAAGUCAAGUAAUUCCUCGUUACUUGCAUAAGGGUAACAUCUAAAAUUUGUUAGAGUGCAAAACAACUUGUUUAAUAAAGAGUUGGGCACGACAUUGGUUUCAUGUUAAAA